rnacentral:rRNA from 1 species
UUUUAUUUAUUUUUUUUAAUUUAUUUUUUGUAAAAUGUUUUUGGUUUUAUUGUUUUUUGGAAGUACUAAAAAUUUGUUUGUUUGAACUGGAUUAGUACCCAGGUAAUCAAAAUUUAUUAAUACGGGAGUAAAGUUUUUUUUAAACCGAAAUAAUAUUGACUGAUCUCGAAUUUUUCUUUGGAAUAUGUGUGUGGAGAGUCCUCCUUAUAUAAUUUUUUUUUGAUUCAUGUAUGAUUGUUUAGCUUUUAUAUUUUUUGUAGUGCUCUAUUUUUAAUUUAAGAACAGAUAGAUACUUGGUUUAUGAAUUUAUUUUCAUGUGUUACUAUUAUUAAUUUUUUUCGGAUAAUUUAUUAUUUGUAUUUUUGAAGUUGGAAAAGAAAGUAAUUUUUUUUAUAUGUAAGAAUGAAUUU